GACAGAGGCCCCAAGCGUUAGGCGGAAUCACUGGGCUUAAAGCGUGUGUAGGCGGACGCCUAAGUGUCCUGUGAAAUCCCACGGCUCACCCGUGGAACUGCUGGGCAUACUGGGCGUCUUGGGCCAACUAGGGGCAGCCGGAACAAGCGGUGGAGCGGUGAAAUGCGUAGAUAUCGCUUGGAACGCCGAAGGUGAAAACAGGCUGCUGGGGUUGCGCCGACGCUGAGACACGAAAGCCAGGGGAGCAAACGGG
rnacentral:rRNA from 1 species